rnacentral:rRNA from 1 species
UGGGUAACCUGCCUCAAAGAGGAGAAUAGCCUCCCGAAAGGGAGAUUAAUACCGCAUAAUAUGUUUAAGUCGCAUAGACUUUAACAUCAAAGGAUUUUCUUUUAGAACUUCCACUUUGAGAUGGACCCGCGGCGCAUUAGCUAGUUGGUGAGGUAACGGCUCACCAAGGCAACGAUGCGUAGCCGACCUGAGAGGGUGAUCGGCCACAUUGGAACUGAGACACGGUCCAGACCUCUACGGGAG